AUGGAUCGCCAUUCAAGUACUACACAAAGUGACCUGGAGCGCAUGCUUUGGGAUGAAAAGGUAGAACCGAAGGCCCUUCCACUAUCACUGCUGGAAGAUAUCACCAAUGGAUUUUCUGAUGAGCGGGAAAUUGGCAGAGGUGGGUUUGCAGUGGUCUAUAAGGGAAUGCUUGAGAACGGUGCGGCCAUUGCUGUGAAGAGACUAUCUAAGACAUAUAUGUAUGAGAAAGAAUUCCUCCGAGAGGUUGAAUGUCUGAUAAAGGUGAAGCACAAAAAUGUGGUACGGUUUAUUGGAUAUUGUGUUGACUCACAAGGGAGAGCAGACAGCUACAAUGGAAAAUUUGUCAUGGCAGAUGUACUACAAAGAUUGCUCUGCUUUGAGUACCUACCUCAUGGAGCUCUUGAUCAGUACAUCACUGAUGCAUCUACUGGACUUGACUGGAGAAAGCGCUACAAAAUAAUCAAUGGGGUUUGUGAGGGUUUACAUUACCUCCACCAAAAUCGAAUUAUUCACUUGGAUCUUAAACCUCAAAACAUUUUGUUGGAUGAUAAUAUGCUACCAAAAAUUGCUGAUUUUGGUCUAGCAAGGUGCUUUAAUGAAAAGCAAAGUCGCGCUUUCACAACAAAAAUAUGGGGAACGGUGGGAUAUUUGGCACCGGAAUUCAGCAACCGCGAAGUCACAUACCGUUUUGACUUAUACAGUCUUGGCGUCAUAAUCAUAGAGAUACUAACCGGAAAGAGGGGCUAUGAAGAUGUUGAGAAUAUACUUGAAAGUUGGAGUUACAGAUUGGACAAAUCAGAAAGAGACAUACAGCUGGAGCAAGUACGAGUAUGCGCUGAGAUAGGGAUAGAGUGCAUCGAGUCCAACCCAGCGAAAAGACCAGUUAGUGUGCAGCAUAUUAUCACUCGGCUCGAUGAAACAAGAAGUAUGGACAGUUCUAUCGAAGCUGCCGUGACAAGAUCAUCAAGACCACAAGUGGAAGCUGAUUCCGGCGAUCUGCAUUGUGGUGGGCUUAAGGAAAGCUCCGAGAUGAGCUCUGUCUCCGAGCUGGUGGAUGAGGUAAUGUCGGUGGCUGUUUGUGCUACGUCAUCCGACCAACUGCGGCAAAUUAGUCCACCCAAAGGACUAGAAGAGAUGGAUAACGAGGAUUUAUCAUUCUCCAGACCAUCAAGCUUUUUGUUGUAUCGAAGUCCAACUAUGCCAGUCGGACGUACUCACCAGAAGAGGCCGGAUGAGCUGGUCGCCGUGCGGCUUUUGAAAAGCAGGAGCAGUCUGCUGGAGCAUUUCACACUUGACACUCUACGGGCAGCGACGGAGGAGUUCGACGACAACUGUCGGAUCGGGUCCGGGAGAUUCGGGUCGGUAUAUCGCGGCACGCUCCCGGACGGGCGCGAGGUGGCGAUAAAACGGGCCAAGUCUUGGAACCGCGACAUCGAGAUGGCCUUCAACUCGGAGAUGAUUGCUCUGGCGCGCGCCAGCCACGAGAACAUCGUGUGCCUGCUGGGGUGCUGCUCUGAGUCCGGUGAAUGCGUGCUAGUGUACGAGCUCAUGAUCAAUGGCACCCUCUACGACCAGCUCCACAAGCGCAGUCCCAUGGCGGCGCCGGUGCUGUGGUGGCGCGGCCGCCUCACCAUCGCGCUGCACGCCGCGCGCGGCAUCGAGUACAUGCACGUCCACACCGUGCCGCCCAUCAUCCACCGCGACAUCAAGUCCGCCAACAUCCUCCUUGGCAAUUUGUGGAUCGCCAAAGUCACCAACUUGGGGCAAUCCUCUGUCCUCAAUCCCCUCGACGACAACGGUGACAACCCGCAGAAGCAGUGGGGCACGGCGGGGUACAAGGACCCGGAGUACUACCGCUUGCAGCACAUGAUGGACAAGAGUGACGUGUACAGCUUCGGGGUGGUGCUCCUGGAGCUCAUGUCCGGCUGCCAUGUCGUGCAGCGGUAUGCCGAGAGCGUGAUGCCGAAGAACAUUGUCGACUUCGCCGUGCCGCACAUCGUCGCCGACGACGUCGCGCGUGUGCUCGACCCACGUUUGCCCACGCCGACAUCUCACGAGGCCGAGGCCCUCGCCUACGUCGGCUACCUCGCCGCGGACUGCGUCGGCCCCAUCGGACACGAGCGCCCCUCCAUGACCGAGGUCGUGGACGCCCUCGAGCGCGCGGUCGCGGCCUGCUCCACGCCGCCGGUCUCCCCCUAG
rnacentral:rRNA from 1 species